GGAGAAGCGGGGAGUUGGGACCCUCUAGCUCUGGACUUCGGGCUGGCUCCCGGACCUGCUUUAAGCGCAGGAAUAUCCGGGCACCGAAUAGUCUACCCCUGAAAGCGCGCUGGAGCAGUGUCCGCGCCCUUGCCGCACGGAUCCCGGAGAGGCUUCACCAAGUAGAGGAUUCGGGUACCCCCAGCCCUGGCGCUCAGCUCGUUGGUACGGUGACAGGUGACAAAGAUGAUCUGGGCUGCUCCUAUCUCUGGCAGGAAUAGGUGGGGCGUGAAGGAGAGCGAGGUUUGGCCAACGCGGGAGGGCAGGAACUUCUUUGGCGUGGUCCAGCGCCCUCGGAGCGUGCUGCCUUCCCCCCGGCAGGGCCUGGCGCGGGCGAGUCCGGGUGUGGGUGGCUCCCCGAGCCGAUCUCGCGCGGCAGCGGUCCUAGCCCCCUCCCCCCUCCCCCGCCAACGGGGGUGGGAAGCGGCGGGGUGGGAGUCACCGAACGUGAUUGCCCGAAGCCCCUCCUGCCGGGGCGAGGGAACGCCAUAAAAGGCCCGUUGCGACCUGCUCCGGACACCCCAUCCGCCGGCUCUCACCCCUCGGAGAGGCGAGCCGGACUGCACAGCACUCGCGGCCCAGUCACGCCCGCUCGCCAGCCCGCCAGCCACCAUGCUGGGUAGCAAGCGACUGGGGCUGUCCGGACUGACCCUCGCCCUGUCCCUGCUCGUGUGCCUGGGAGCUCUGGCCGAGGCGUACCCCUCCAAGCCCAACAACCCCGGAGAGGACGCGCCGGCGGAGGACUUGGCCAGAUACUACUCGGCGCUGCGACACUACAUCAAUCUCAUCACCAGGCAAAGAUAUGGAAAACGAUCUAGCCCUGAGACACUGAUUUCAGACCUCUUGAUGAGAGAAAGCAUGGAAAACGUUCCCAGAACUAGUGCCCUUAUGAAAGGAACCAAAGAGGUCCCUCAUCCCUUUCAUCAUAUGAGGACAUAGCAGGACGAUGCUGGCUAUGAACCAGGAAGCAAGCUCUCACCAGACAACAAAUCUGCUGGUGCUUGAUCUUGGGCUUUCCAACCUCCAGAACUUGCUCAUGACACAUUCAAGCAGAGGAUUAUUCCCCCCAUUUUCACAAGUGAGGAAGCUGAGGCCCAGGGAAAGUAAGUGACUUUCCCCACUGCAUUCAGGUUAGGGGGAUUUGACAGCAGCUGCUCUAAUUUCAGACUUUACCCUGCCCGAUGAUGUCUCGUGGAAGAAGUAAGUCAAGACCAGGUCAUAUAUGACCUUGUCAACAACCUAAUCGUGGCACACUUAAAACAAAUUAGAGAAUAACAAAGUACUAAACCGUACAAAAGGCAUUUAGAAAUGGAAAUGAGUGUGGGUAGAAUUAGCUAGAAAAGUCUUCAGAGAGACCAUGAAUGUUGAGCUGGGAUUGAGGACAUUCUGGGUGAGGUGACCUGCUGAGCUCAACACAGAGGUGGACCAGCUUGCAGAGUGGCCAGGGUUGGAUCAGUGAAGCAGGUCCAAGAAUGGCCAAACUCACUCAUCCAUUCAUCCAUUCACACACUUAGCAUUUUCGAGCACCUAAUACCUGUUGGACGUUGCACUAAGCACUGGGCAUACAAAGAUCAGUAAUAGUUUCUCCGGGAAUUUGCCCUCCAAUGAGGGAGACAGAUAAUUAGUGCAUCGUUGGAAGUACAGAGAUGGGAGUGUUAGAGUUUGGGGAUGUUAGGGGCCUCUUUUCCACUCAUCAUGCCUCCCUUUGCAGUUUCCUGACAAAGGAGCUAUAGAUUUAACAAUCAAUUGGCAAAUGGAGAACAAAGUACCAGAUGGGCAAGUAUCCAAUGAAGCCAAAGACAGGGCUGCCCUAAGCUGAAUCAGAGCACCUGGCUGAGACCUGAACCUGUAGGGUAGCCCAGCCCCCAUACCAAACCUCAGCACCCUGGUGGGGAGCGGCAGGAAUAGUGAGGUGUGUGGCAGUCUCACAAAUCCACAGCACACAGACAGGAAGAGGCAGCCUGCCACGUCCAGCAGCAGAGGGGGGAAGAGAAGGGACACUCGUGAAUGCGUGUUACCUUCUGGACAAUAUCCCUGCCCAUUGGGCUUCCCUGGUGGCGCAGUGGUUGAGAGCCCGCCUGCCAAUGCAGGGGACACGGGUUCGUGCCCUGGUCCGGGAAGAUCCCACAUGCCGCGGAGCGGCUGGGCCCGUGAGCCAUGGCCGCUGAGCCUGCGCGUCCGGAGCCUGUGCUCCGCAACGGGAGAGGCCACAACAGUGAGAGGACCGCGUA